rnacentral:rRNA from 1 species
GUCUAUGGCCAUCCCACCCUGAACGUGCCUGAUCUCAUCUGAUUUCGGAAACUAAGCAAGGUCGGGCCUGAUUAGUACUUGGAUGCUCCCACCUAGGAAUACUAGGUGCUGUAGGUG